UACGUAGGGAGCGAGCGUUGUCCGGAAUUACUGGGUGUAAAGGGAGCGUAGGCGGGACGGCAAGUCAGAUGUGAAAUACAUGGGCUCAACCCAUGGGCUGCAUUUGAAACUGCUGUUCUUGAGUGAAGUAGAGGUAAGCGGAAUUCCUGGUGUAGCGGUGAAAUGCGUAGAUAUCAGGAGGAACACCGGUGGCGAAGGCGGCUUACUGGGCUUUUACUGACGCUGAGGCUCGAAAGCGUGGGGAGCAAACAGG
rnacentral:rRNA from 1 species